AACGCUCCGGGGGUCCCUAAUACAUGCAAGUCGAGCGGACAGAUGGGAGCUUGCUCCCUGAAGUCAGCGGCGGACGGGUGAGUAACACGUGGGCAACCUGCCUGUAAGACUGGGAUAACUCCGGGAAACCGGGGCUAAUACCGGAUAAUUCUUUCCCUCACAUGAGGGAAAGCUGAAAGAUGGUUUCGGCUAUCACUUACAGAUGGCGCCGCGGCGCAUUAGCUAGUUGGUGAGGUAACGGCUCACCAAGGCAACGAUGCGUAGCCGACCUGAGAGGGUGAUCGGCCACACUGGGACUGAGACACGGCCCAGACUCCUACGGGAGGCAGCAGUAGGGAAUCUUCCGCAAUGGACGAAAGUCUGACGGAGCAACGCCGCGUGAGUGAUGAAGGAUAUCGGAUCGUUAUACUCUGUUGUUAGGGAAGAACAAGUACCGGAGUAACUGCCGGUACCUUGACGGUACCUAACCAGAAAGCCACGGCUAACUACGUGCCAGCAGCCGCGGUAAUACGUAGGUGGCAAGCGUUGUCCGGAAUUAUUAGGCCUAAUGCGCGCGCAAGCGGUUCCUUAAGUCUGAUGUGAAAGCCCCCGGCUCAACCCGGAAGGGUCAUUGGAAACUGGGGAACUUGAGUGCAGAAGAGAAGAGUGGAAUUCCACGUGCGAUGGUGAAAUGCGUAGAGAUGUGGAGGAACACCAGUGG
rnacentral:rRNA from 2 species